AGUGGAAUUGCUGGGUCAUAUGGUAAGUACAUAUUUACUUUUGUAAGAAACUGCCAAACUGUUCUCCAGAGUAGUUGCACCAUUUUACAUUCCUGAUAGCAAU
rnacentral:pre_miRNA from 1 species